rnacentral:rRNA from 1 species
AACGAACGCUGGCGGCAUGCCUAACACAUGCAAGUCGAACGAUCCCUUCGGGGGUAGUGGCGCACAGGUGCGUCACGCGUGGGAACCUUCCCUUAGGUUCGGGAUAACACAGAGACGUUUGGGCUAAUACAGGAUAAUGUCUUCGGACCCAAGAUUUAUCGCCUUAGGAUGGGCCCGCGUUGGAUUGGCCUGGUGCUGGGGUAAAGGCCUAUCACGGCGACGCUCCAUAGCUGGUCUGAGAGAAAGAUCAGCCACACUGGGACUAGGACACGGUCGAGAAUCUUACGCGAUGGGGCAGUGGGGAAUAUUGGACUACGGGGGAAGGCAUGAACCAGCAAGGCCGGGAGAGUGAUGAAGGUGGGAGGGUAGUAAAGCUCUUUUACCCGGGAUGAUAAUGACAGUACCGGAAGAAUAAGCCCCGGCUAACUCCGUG